AGAGUUUGAUCCUGGCUCAGGACGAACGCUGGCGGCGUGCUUAACACAUGCAAGUCGAACGGAAAGGGCCCUUCGGGGUACUCGAGUGGGCGAACGGGUGAGUAACACGUGGGUGAUCUGCCUCGUACUUUGGGAUAAGCCUGGGAAACUGGGUCUAAUACCGAAUAUGACCUUCCCUCGCAUGGGGGUUGGUGGAAACUUUUUGGGUACGAGAUGGGCCCGCGGCCUAUCAGCUCGUUGGUGGGGUAAUGGCCUACCAAGGCGACGACGGGUAGCCGGCCUGAGAGGGCGACCGGCCACACUGGGACUGAGACACGGCCCAGACUCCUACGGGAGGCAGCAGUGGGGAAUAUUGCACAAUGGGCGCAAGCCUGAUGCAGCGACGCCGCGUGAGGGAUGACGGCCUUCGGGUUGUAAACCUCUUUCACCAGGGACGAAGAGAAAUUGACGGUACCUGGAGAAGAAGCACCGGCCAACUACGUG
rnacentral:rRNA from 1 species